rnacentral:rRNA from 1 species
CCUACGGGAGGCAGCAGUGGGGGAUAUUGCACAAUGGGGGAAACCCUGAUGCAGCGACGCCGCGUGAGUGAAGAAGUAUUUCGGUAUGUAAAGCUCUAUCAGCAGGGAAGAAAAUGACAAUACCUGACUAAGAAGCCCCGGCUAACUACGUGCCAGCAGCCGCGGUAAUACGUAGGGGGCAAGCGUUAUCCGGAUUUACUGGGUGUAAAGGGAGCGUAGACGGCCAUGUAAGUCAGAAGUGAAAGCCCAGGGCCCAACCCCGGGACUGCUUUUGAAACUGUGGGGCUGGAGUGCAGGAGGGGUAAGCGGAAUUCCUAGUGUAGCGGUGAAAUGCGUAGAUAUUAGGAGGAACACCAGUGGCGAAGGCGGCCUACUGGACUGAAACUGACGUUGAGGCUCGAAAGCGUGGGGAGCAAACAGGAUUAGAUACCCCGGUAGUC